AGCGAACGCUGGCGGCAGGCCUAACACAUGCAAGUCGAACGAACCCUUCGGGGUUAGUGGCGGAUGGGUGAGUAACACGUGGGAACGUGCCUUUAGGUUCGGAAUAACUCAGGGAAACUUGUGCUAAUACCGAAUGUGCCCUUCGGGGGAAAGAUUUAUCGCCUUUAGAGCGGCCCGCGUCUGAUUAGCUAGUUGGUGAGGUAAAGGCUCACCAAGGCUACGACCAGUAGCUGGUCUGAGAGGAUGACCAGCCACAUUGGGACUGAGACACGGCCCAAACUCCUACGGGAGGCAGCAGUGGGGAAUCUUGCGCAAUGGGCGAAAGCCUGACGCAGCCAUGCCGCGUGGAUGAUGAAGGUCUUAGGAUUGUAAAAUCCUUUCACCGGUGAAGAUAAUGACUGUAGCCGGAGAAGAAGCCCCGGCUAACUUCGUGCCAGCCGCCGCGGUAAAAC
rnacentral:rRNA from 1 species